rnacentral:rRNA from 1 species
UUAAAAUGUAAAAAUUUACCAAAUUAUUAAUAGUUAAGUUCUUUAAAAUUAAUUUAUUUGGCGGUAUUUUAUUCUUGUUAGAGGAACCUGUUCAGUAAUUGAUAUUCCACGUUUUUUUAUACUUAAAUUAGAAAUUUAUAUAUCGUUGUUUAAAAAAUUUUUUUAAAAAUAAAUUUUUUUAAUUUUAAAUUAAAAAUUAAUUCAAAUCAAGGUGUAGUUUAUAUUUAAGUUGAAAUGGGUUACAUUUUUUAAAAUUAAUGGAUAAAUAAUUUUGUAUAAUUUUGAAAAUGGAUUUAAUAGUAAUUUAAAAUUAAUAUUUUAAAUGAAUAAGCUCUGAAAUAUGU